UAUAGGGAUUGGAUUGAAUCAUACCUGCAUUCAAGAGUGCAUUUUGUGCGUAAUGUAGUUAAUUAGACAAAUUUCUAAUGUGAGAAUCUUUCUGAGAAUGAGAUGUUGCUAAAUAUUUCGGAUGUUGUCGACAAGGAUGAGGUUCAACUUAUUAAGGUACGAACAUACUCUGGGCAUUGAAAACUGGUUUGACUCUUGAACAUAUUCCGCACCACUAAUCUUUCUUGUAAUCCAGGCUCACGCACGAUCACUAUAAGGUCCCACAUUCUUAGUGGCCUAAUCGUUGGAAAAUGCUACUUUGGCACUACUUGAUGAAUUGUAUGGCUGGGAUUUUUUUCCCCUUGCUUGUAGAAUCCUCUCAAUUUAUGUAACCAUCGUGUACUCAUUUACAUGUCAUCAAAUUUUGAAUGAGAUGUGAUAUACAUAGAACAAUUUGUAUGACCUCAUUUUCUGUGUUUAUUUCUCUCCAUCAAUAUCAUUUUCUAAAACUCAAAAUUCUCUCU